AGAGGGUGCAAGCGUUAAUCGGAAUUACUGGGCGUAAAGCGUGCGUAGACGGUUACAUAAGUCGGGUGUGAAAGCCCCGGGCUCAACCUGGGAAUUGCAUUCGAGACUGCGUAGCUAGGGUGCGGAAGAGGGAAGCGGAAUUUCCGGUGUAGCGGUGAAAUGCGUAGAUAUCGGAAGGAACACCAGUGGCGAAAGCGGCUUCCUGGUCCAGCACCGACGUUCAGGCACGAAAGCGUGGGGAGCAAACAGGAUUAGAUACCCUGGUAGUCCACGCCAUAAACGAUGAGAACUAGACGUUGAAGGGGUAAGCCCUCCAGUGUCGUAGCUAACGCGCUAAGUUCUCCGCCUGGGGAGUACGGCCGCAAGGUUG
rnacentral:rRNA from 1 species